UCCAAGAAACCAGUACCAGUCUACCAGCCAGUUGUCAAACAACGCAACGCCACAUGAACUCCUGUUGAAUGCACUCAACAGACAGUCAUUUCUAGACUGUAGUGAUUUGUGCACCGGAGUUUGAGUGGGUUGAUGUGUGCGGCAGGCUAGUGUCAUUGGUAUUUGUUGUAGUAGUUGGUACAGUUGUAAUAACAGUGUUGUACAAAUUCGCACUGCAGUUUUGCCACUUCAAAAUAACGGUCUCUACUGUCAGGUGUCAGUCUCAGUGUGAAUUCAAUGUGUCAACGCUAAGUUGUUCUUUUGUGAUUGUGCAAAGUGAUACUUAUUUUUCAAACAUGGAAGUUGCUGAUAGUAUGAUAAAAGACAAUGAAAUACCUAUAGUCGAUUUAACACACAUGGGUAGUGUGAUGAGUCCAGUGAAGCCGUGGGUGAAGAAGGCAGCAAAGCAAUUGGAGAAAGCAUUAUCUCACAGAGGUCUGGCACUCAUCGUCAACCAUGGAAUUUCUGAACAAAAGUUGCAGGCCGUCUAUAGGGCAAUGAAGAAGUUCUGUGAACUCUCUGAAGUCACCAAAUCAAAAUAUGAAAUAAAGCCCAACGCUGAAAAUCAUGGAUAUGUUUCACCCGGAAUUGAAAAGUUCGCGAGAGACAAGUCAGAAGAAAUAAGACAUGCAUUCAAUAUUCUAUCAUUCGACAAGAAGAUACCAGAUGAAGAGGUGCCUGGAUUCAGAGACUCGCUGUCUUACGUUGCUGAAGAAAUGAAACGCGUUGCUUACAUUGUUUUACAAAUCAUGGCUGUUGGCCUUGACCUGGACCCGAAUGUUUUCCUGAACAAGCACCAGAACAUGUUGAAAGAGGGGAACGUGACAACACUGAGGGUGCUGCAUUACCCACCAAUGGGCGACAGGCUGAUUCCGGGUCAGAUGCGGUGUGGUGAGCACACUGACUACGGCUCGUUCACAUUGCUCGCACAAGAUUCCGAGGGUGGACUCGAGGUAUCUGUAAAUGGAAAAUGGAAACGAGUUGGACACCUUCCAGGAGCCAUGUUGAUCAAUAUUGGGGACCUCAUGGAUAAAUGGACGUCAGGAAAAUUCCCUGCUGUGAGGCACAGAGUAGUGGUACCAGAGCAGAAGACAAUCAGGUACAGAGGCCGGAAUAGCAUAGCGUUCUUUGUGCACCCGGAGAACGACACGGUGAUUGACCCGGCCGAGACCGUUCCCGCUCCGCUUCUACCGUCCGAGGCUGACGUUCCACCCAAACGCGAGCUCACGCUCAUCACAGCCUACCAGCACUUCCAGGAGAGACUAAGAGAAUCGUACGGCUGAUCUUUUAACAAAAUGUAGAUCUAGCUCAAUACUACUAUCUAUCUAAUCUAUGUUUGAGAAUAUUCAGGCUACUACGCACCCUGAGAAAGCGCUUCUACAGCCAGCGAGCGGUGCCAGCGAGUGCACCUUCCUGACAAAACAUGAUUCCCACCAGACCUGGCCACGAUUCGAGCUGCUCAC
rnacentral:misc_RNA from 1 species